CAUAGUAAUGUUUGACAGGUAUCGGGAAGGAGACAACUUAACAUAGUAAUGUUUGACAGGUAUCGGGAAGGAGACAGCUCGGGACUUGGCUCAGCGAGGCGCCCGGGUCAUCCUUGCUUGUCGUAAUGUUGAGAAAGCUGAGAGAAUUGCAGAGGACAUCAAGAAGACUACAGGCAACACAGAUGUGGUAGUGCGGCAGGUAGACACCUCAGACCUGACCUCCGUCAGGAAGUUUGCUGAAGACAUCCUACGCACAGAGACUUCUCUCCAUAUCCUGGUGAACAACGCAGGUAUGAGUGGUAUGAAGAAGAGGAAGUUGACAGCAGAUGGUCUGGAGGUGACGAUGGCAACCAACCACUUUGGUCACUUUCUGCUGACUAACAUGUUGCUGGGU